AUACUUACCUGGCAAGGGAGAGGGAGAGACCAUGGUCACAAAGGUAGUUUUCCCAGGGCUAGGCUUAUCCACUACACUCCAGGUGUGCUGACCCCUGUGAUUUCCCCAAAUGUGGGAAACUCGACUGCAUAGUUUGUGGUAGUGGGGGACUACAUUCACACUCUCUUCUA
rfam:Erinaceus europaeus unplaced genomic scaffold scaffold00182, whole genome shotgun sequence